rnacentral:rRNA from 1 species
UACGCGUUUUAAUUUUUAACUCUAUUUGUUGUGAUAUUCUAGUUUUUAAUUUAUUUUUUAAAUUAUUUUUGUAAAAUGUUUUAAUUUGUUUUUUUUUUAUUAGGGUGUUGAAAAUUUGUUUCUUGAACUGGAUUAGUACCCAGGUAAUCAAAAUUAAUUAAUUCGGGAGUAAAGUUUUAUUUAAACCGAAAAAAUAUUGACUGACUUUAGAUUUUUCUUUGGAACAUGUGUUUUUGGAGAGCCCUCCUUUUUAGUUAUUUUUAUCGGCACAUGUAUGAUUGUUUAGUUUUUAUUUUACUUUGUAAUGCUUUUUUGUUUUUUACAUUUAAAACAGAUAUAUAUUUGGCUUAUGAAUUUAUUUCUCAUGUGUUACUAUUAUGAAUUGUUUUGGAUUUAUCUUUUAUUUUUUUUUUGAAAUUGGAAAAAAAAGUAAUUUUUUUUUGAUGUUAUAGUGAAUUAAAUAAAUAAAG